rnacentral:rRNA from 1 species
AGUCGUAACAAGGUUUCCGUAGGUGAACCUGCGGAAGGAUCAUUAAUGAAUUUAGAUUGAACCAUAGGCGAAAGCCAGUGGUUCUUCUUUCAUAUCCAUAACACCUGUGCACUGUUGGAUGCUUGCAUCCACUUUUAAACUAAACAUUAUUGUAACAAAUGUAGUCUUAUUAUAACAUAAUAAAACUUUCAACAACGGAUCUCUUGGCUCUCGCAUCGAUGAAGAACGCAGCGAAAUGCGAUAAGUAAUGUGAAUUGCAGAAUUCAGUGAAUCAUCGAAUCUUUGAACGCACCUUGCGCUCCUUGGUAUUCCGAGGAGCAUGCCUGUUUGAGUGUCAUGAAACCCUCAAACCCAAGUUUUGGAUUUCGAUCCAUGCUUGAGUUUGGAUUUGGAUGUUUGCCGGUGAUGAACCGACUCAUCUUAAAAGUAUUAGCUUGGAUCUGUCUAUAUGACUGGUUUGACUUGGCAUAAUAAGUAUUUUGCUGAGGACAUCUUCGGAUGGCCAGGACCUAGACUACUGUCUGCUAACUAAACCAUCACUUUAAGUGCAUCUUUGGAUGUUACUCAUUGUGUAACUUUGACAUCUGGCCUCAAAUCAAGUAUGACUACCCGCUGAACUUAAGCAUAUCAAUAAGCGGAGGAAAUCACUAAAGUCG